UCCCGUAUCUACUCGUACGCGAUCGAUCUCCGAAGUUGUACGUAUAAACCGGGAAAAAUUUCGACCGCGUCUUCAGUAGGCGCCGGGCGUCAGCCUGUGGCCGAAGGGGGGGCCCGUGUCGCUCGGGGGGCGGGGGUGUGCCUUUUUUUUCUAAGUCCACGCGCAUGGAUGCGUUUUAAAGGGCCGCGCAUCUCUUAAUAUCUCCCUUAUUUACCGGCCGAUCUGGACCAAAUUUAAACCGUAGCUGCGUCCGGCCGGGGGCUCGAAAUGGGAUUUUCAAUUUUUUCCUAUCCCCUCCCCUUUUCGAGAUAUCGACGCAUCUCUGUCGUCUUUCGACCUGCGACCUCGAUACUUCGGAAUCACGCGUUUCGCGACAUUUCUAGACGAUCUACGCAAUAACCGUUUUUUGGAUUUUUUAUUAAAAACUUAAAUCGCGAUAUCUCGAAAACGGAACGUCGUAGAUAGGGGUUCCUGGGUGUCUUUAGAAAGUUCUCGACCUAAUCUAACCGAUGGGAGGGUCGAAAUUUGGAAACUGAGAUACCAGCUCGGAAAUGACGGAAUCGAAUGGCCCUGGUCCCCAAACCUCUCGAUACCAAAUUUCAGCGAGAUCGGUCGGUAAAUAACGGAGAUAUAGCAAUUUGUAAUUUGACACCACCGAAAACACUUAAAACGCGAUAUCUCGAGAACGGUGCGUCGUAGACGGGUCUUUAUAGGUAUCUUUGGAAAGCUCUCGAUGUAAUCUAACCGAUGGGAUGGUCAGAAUUUCGGAAUGGAGAUAGAAGUGCCGAAAGGAUGGAAACGGGUGCCUCAAUUUCUCCAACCUCUCAAUACUGAAUAUUUAUCGAGAUCGGACUAUAAAUAAAGGAAAUAUAACGAUAUGUAAUUUGACACCAUUGAAAACACUUAAAACGCGAUAUCUCGUAUAUUUACACACGUGCGCAUACUGAGAGAUCAAUAUAUGCUGCACCGCUCUUAUAAAAUAUGACAAUAGUAAUUAUUUGCCGCAACCAGGUAUCGUGUAUGUGCACCUAUAUACUAAAGUCACUAGAUAUAGAAAGUAACACAAUCAUCCGCCAUUUUGGUGAAAAUUUGCUGCCAACUUAAAAAAAUUUAAAAAUAAAAACUGAAUAUCAGUAAUUUUUUAUAGCCUAACUUCAUAGUACUGUCAUGUUUUAUAUAAAUAUAAUCCCAUCUCUAAACAGGUGAUACAAUCCCCAACAUUAAAGUUACUAGAAUUUUUUUGGGCAAAAAUUAUGCUUUCUCUCUUUAACACACGAGCCAAAUGGAUUGCGGUACUUUCUAUAUUUAUCCAAUACAAAAUAUAACCUAUAAUUUCACAAACUAUAAUUUCUAAUUCUUAUUACUAUCGUUCCUUUCAACACGACUUUUUUCAAGACUACCAGUUUCUUUCGAAUAUUUACAAGUUGUAGCGUGUAAUAGGCAAUAGGUUUACUUCGACAAGCCUUUUACUUCUUAGAAGAGAAUAAGAUGCGUUUGCAGUUCUGUUUCCGUAAUGGAACUAAAGAUGAAAGUGAAGUUUGAGAGUACUCGAUACGUUUGUGUAUACAGGAGUUUCGAUAAACGGAUGUCAACCGUGACGAGGAUUACAACAAUAUACGCCGAAAUGCUCGUCGUUUACUUGAACGGUUUCACAUACAGGAAGUCUUGCUUCUGGGAAGUCACCUGGCCGCUUAGCGAUUGCUAAUAAGGCGUUUGUAAAAGAUAUUCUUGCUCGUCUUGAACAAAGUCGAAAAAAGCAACUGCGAUAAUUUGUCCCACUAACGGAUAUCUCAUACGGAACGUGUGACACUAUUGCCUGGAGAAAAUUGUACUUCUAUCCUUUAAAGUAACCGUGUUACAAGAACUCAUCGUCUGGACUUGCAAAGUCCUAAAAUAUUGCAUGCAAAUUUACUAGAUGUCAACGUAUUCGAAACCGUUUACACACCAUUGCCGAAUUACGAGCAGAUAUAGAAGCUACCGUUUGAAGCAUUAUGCAACGGCACUUACAUGCCGGCUUCGAAAACAAAGAAAAGAGUGGACCCCUGUCUUAAUUAUGGUGACGAGAUCUUCGAACAGUUGUUUAUAACAUGUGAUUUAUCCAAUUACUUCAAUAUUAACGAUUUGUAAAAGAAAUAAAAUUGUUUCAAUUGUUGUA